UACGUAGGGUGCGAGCGUUAAUCGGAAUUACUGGGCGUAAAGCGUGCGCAGGCGGUUUUGUAAGUCAGAUGUGAAAGCCCCGGGCUCAACCUGGGAACUGCGUUUGAAACUACAAGGCUAGAGUGUAGCAGAGGGGGGUAGAAUUCCACGUGUAGCAGUGAAAUGCGUAGAGAUGUGGAGGAAUACCAAUGGCGAAGGCAGCCCCCUGGGUUAACACUGACGCUCAUGCACGAAAGCGUGGGGAGCAAACAG
rnacentral:rRNA from 1 species